UCUACCUCUGGGUGGGGAAUAACGACCGGAAACGGUCGCUAAUACCGCAUAAUGCAGCGGAACCACAUGGUGACAGUUGUUAAAGCGGGGGAUCGCAAGACCUCGCGCCUAGAGAGGAGCCUGCGGCGGAUUAGCUAGUAGGUAAGGUAAUGGCCUACCCAGGCGACGAUCCGUAGCCGGCCUGAGAGGGCGGUCGGUCACACUGGCACUGACACACGGGCCAGACUCCUACGGGAGGCAGCAGUCGGGAA
rnacentral:rRNA from 1 species